AGGAGGCGCAUAGUGUCAGGUUGUCCCAAAAUAGUGACGUUAUAUACCAUCGCUUGGCUAAUGUGCUGACUCACACUUCCUUCCAUGAUAAAGGCAUACCUCUCCGUGUAUACUGGAGAUGAAUUACAGUUCCUUCUAAAAAGGCAGGGCAUUUCAGGUUUUGACCCCAGCUAAGGCUUUCCAGAGGGGCAGAGGGGCAGAGGCGGGGGAGCUGCAGACCGCUUGACUCCUACAGGCCACAUCAUGCCAAGCCACUUGUCCUUGGGGAAGAUAAGUAUAAAUAGGGACUGCACUCCUGCCCCCACUUCCAGCCCCAAACACCCUAACUUCUUCCUGUUUGGAUGGAAAGCUGAGAGGGGUGAAUGAGGGGAGGGGUGUGGCUUUCAUGAAACGUGGUUUUAAUGUUUACUUUAUUCCCUUUCCCUUCUCUGAGAGGCACAAGUGGGAAUCAUUCCCAUUUUGUGCUAAUUUAAAGGCAACUUAAAGAAGAA